AGAGAAUGUCGGGAGAGGAAGUGGUGGCUCUGAGUCAGCAUGAGUCAUCUGGUUCCAGUGACAAUGAAGACUGAGGCAAGCUGAGCAUAUCUUGGGAUCUUCACAGCACAGUGGCUGGGAAGGCAGACCGUCUAUCAGCUUCUCCCUGAAUAACUGGGAGCUGAAACAGGAAGCCCCAUGACACAGUUGAUCGAAAAUGACACAGACACAGAAAAAUCAGGACGUGCCCCCAGCAGCACCCCUACCUGCUGCCUGCUGAUCGAAGCUGGGAGGCCCGUGAAGGGUUUCCACCAGGAAUGAACUCUACUCCAUACUCACGGGUGAUGGGCCUGCAAUCCUUGCUUUGGUGAUGUUCUUUUACAGCUGGUUUGUUUGUUUGUUUAAUUAAUUAGUUAGUCUACUAUUACUUUAUUUAUUGGCCCUCUUCCAUGUCGUGAUCUUUUCUUCAUUAAAAGCAAAACUAAAGAAAAUGAAA
rnacentral:lncRNA from 1 species